rnacentral:rRNA from 2 species
AAACUUUGCAAUGUGCGAAAGCACGACAAGGUUAAUCCGAGUGAUUUCUGCUAARGAAAUCUUUUGUUAGUCCUAGAARCACUAACGGAAUAAGGGGUGGGCAAGUUCUGGUGUCAGCCGCCGCGGUAAAACCAGCACCUCAAGUGGUCAGGAUGAUUAUUGGGCCUAAAGCAUCCGUAGCCGGCUCUGUAAGUCCUCGGUUAAAUCUGUACGCUUAACGUACAGGCUGCCGGGAAUACUGCAUAGCUAGGGAGUGGGAGAGGUAGACGGUACUCGGUAGGAAGGGGUAAAAUCCUUUGAUCUAUUGAUGACCACCUGUGGCGAAGGCGGUCUACCAGAACACGUCCGACGGUGAGGGAUGAAAGCUGGGGGAGCAAACCGGAUUAGAUACCCGGGUAGUCCCAGCUGUAAACUAUGCAAACUCAGUGAUGCAUUGGCUUGUGGCCAAUGCAGUGCUGCAGGGAAGCCGUUAAGUUUGCCGCCUGGGAAGUACGUACGCAAGUAUGAAACUUAAAGGAAUUGGCGGGGGAGCACCACAAGGGGUGAAGCCUGCGGUUCAAUUGGAGUCWWCGCCGG